rnacentral:lncRNA from 1 species
UUGGCAGCACCGAGGGCAGAAAAUGGCAGCGCACGGACAAACAGACAGCUCUUCUCUCCUCUCGGUUAAAUCUUUCCAACUUAUGUUUUACUUUCGGUUUAAUUUUUCCAAACUUCUCUUUUAUUUCUGUUUUUAAUAAUGUGUAAUUAAAUUUAUGUUGGUUAGAGGUUAAUUCGAAACCAUGAUUAUAUUUGUAAUAUGAAUUGAUUACCUUCAGUUGUGAUUUAUAAGUUGUGAAUUCAAUUUACUUAUCCGUUCGUAUAAAAACUGAUUUGUGUAUGUUGGUUGAGAGUGCACGCUUAAUUUACAUGCAUGAAUUUGAUGCUAGAAUAUAAGUGAAUUUCACCUAAUCGUUAUGAACUUAUUUUCACAAGUAGUAAAGGUUGCUAGUCACAAUCACGUUAAGUAAAUUCUUGGCAAGAGUAUCAUGUUUUUCAUAGUUACGAAUGCCUCGUCAAUGCUUAUAGUUUUCACAAAGUUUAAUGAUCUUUGAUUGUAUCUCUAUUGUGCUUUUCACGUAGGGGACUUUUGAAGAAUGUUUUGAAUUGUUGUAUGCGUUUUCCCGUCCAAUUCAAUAACUUAAGGAAAACUUGAAGAUUAAAAAAGUGCUGUUCACGGUUAAUCUGGAGUAUUGAAAUUUUACAAUUUAUUAAAAGAACAACUGGAAAUCAUUUUGUAUGCAAGUAUAACAUGUGUGGAGAAGAACCCUCUAGCUAGUCCGUCAUUUAUCAUUUUACCUUAAUUUUAUGUUUUUGUCAAUUCUGUAAUUUAAUUAAGUUUAAUUUACUUUUCAUCAAAACCAAACACCCAUCCAUUAUUAAAUUAUAUUAUUUAGUUAGUUUUCUUUAUUGUUAGUCUUUUAAUUUAAUUUCCGUCCAUUUCAGUUCCUAGUGUUUAAUUUAAUUGUUUUCAUUAUUUUGAGUCAUUUUAAGUGUGUUUCGAGUUAUUAGAGUUUUUAGCCUAAUUUUGUGUCCUUGAGUCUUAUUUAAUAUUUUUAAAUUAAUUUAGAAUAGAUUAGCAAUCCCUCCUAAUCCCCGGCCUAGAACGAUACCCUACUUACAUCCAUACUACAAUUGUCAAAAAGAGGGUUUAAUUUGUGUGUCAAGUAAUUUUCACAUCAAAUUUUGGCGCCGUUGCCGGGGAUUAGCAACUUUGCUAAUCCUUUUAUUUUUGUUUUUGUUUAUGUUUAUAUUGGUGUUUGUGUAUUUUACUUUUGAUAUUUGAUUUAUUUUUCUUUCUUUGAUUUUAGGUUCAAAUGGAGCCGAGGGAAAUUUAAAGGAAAGAUGCGUCCGGCUAAAGAUGUUAAAUCAAGCGCUUCUUGGGAGGCAACCCAAGCAUUCAACGAAGGGAGACUUUGGAAUCGUUAACCCAAUCAGAUUUGCAUUUUUACACCCUUAUCUUUAAUGCUUUCAUUUUGUCUUGUUUAGUUAGUUGUGUUAUUUGUUUGAUUUCUGUGAGUUUGUGUUAUUUAGUUUAAGUGUGGGGGAAGGUUAACCAAAGUCUCUUUACAUUAAUUUACAUUUAUAAAAAAAAAAAAAAAAAAAAAAAAAAAAAAAGAUAAAAUUUAAAAUUAAUGAUAAAAAAAAAAAAAAAAAAAAAAAAAAGAAAGUACAAAUAUUUUACAAUGAUGUAAACUAAUAGUAUUCAUUGGUCGGGCGGGGCUUCAGCAGUCGGCGGGGCCACAGAAGGAGGAGGCGGCAGAGGUUGAUCAGUUGGAGCUUCACUACGCGGUGCCGCUCCAGAAGACGAAGGCAGAUGUUGUUGGAACAAACCCACAAACCUCCGAUGAUCAAGUAAAAUUUGACCAUCGGUGUCCUGCAUCUGGUCAAUCUUCCUCUUCAUGCUGGUGGCAUAGCUGUGUGCGAGCUUGUGCAAUUCCUUAUUCUCAUGCUUGAGCCCUUUAAUCUCUUGCUUGAGACUCUGUAUUUCAGCCACCAAGGAUUCAACGUGACGGGUUCGGGCAUAUAGGCGUUGGGCCAUGUUGGAUACGGAACCCGCACACUGCACACUGAGAGCCAGAGACUCCUUGACCGCCAAUUCAUCAGACCGCCUUGCGAGCAGUCUGUUAUCUCUGGGAGUGACAAGGUUUCGGGCCACCACCGCAGCGGUCAUGUCAUUUUUCAUCAUCGAAUCCCCCACGGUAAGGGGACCGGUAGGGGAUAUGAAGGAUGGCCGCCAUAUGUUGUCUGGUGAAGGCGGAGCUGCCUCUUCACCAAUGUUCAAGUCAAAACGACGAUCAGAAGGGCCAGACAUUUUUCAGAGGUGGUAAAGAAAGAAGAGAGUUGGACUGAUCAAGAUUAAACAAGUGCAAGAUGGGAGUGUUUACAGGAGGGUACUCAAGUGUGUUGUGGAACAAAAAAAUUAACGCCUCUAUAAAAAAGAAGAAAUCAAAGAGGCGCUCCUCAGAGAAGCGUCCUCUCGCAAAUCGAAGAGUCGGGGCUCCUUUCUCAAAAGCCGGAUUCUUUUCUCAAAAGAGGAGUUUCCGUUCUCAAAAGCCGGAUUCUUUUCUCAAAAGAGGCGUUCAUUUCUUAAAAGUUGGGCUUGCUCAGAAACCACGAGCCGAACCCCGGAUUUCGCAAGAUCAAAUUCGUCCAGACGUGUUUGUCACCCGUCACACGCAAACUCAGCUCUCUGCGAAAAUCACGGGCAGUCUGUCGAAGUGCCGAUUCCAACCAUCUGUCUCUCUCAGCCUAGUCAGCACUUGUCACAUGCAACUGGCAGCUUUGCGGAAAUUACGGGCAGCUUUGUCAGAAAGCGCGUAAUUUGUAUUCUUCACCCAUCCACCGGCUGCCGACACUAAGUGAGAGAACAGUUCCGGUUGUGAAGACAAGUCCUAUAAGUUUCUACCUUCGCCUUCCACAGCAAAAACACACUCUCUCAGCACACCCUCUCAACACCUCUUCAUCUCCGAAAAUGCAUUCCCAAAGAAUCCUCUCGAGUCACUCUGUGUUCCUCAUUCCUUGGGAUACUCCUGCGAACAACCCAUUCAAAGCAAAAGUAUUUCAUAUCAUAAAGGUUGAAAGCAAGAGUAUCUCAUAUCAUGCUUUCUCCAUGUCCUUCUCCUUGUCUUUGUUUUCCGACAAGGAGAAAGAGAGCAAUCAGCCAGCAUUUGGUAUCAAUCUUCCAAUCUGGAGCCAACUGCCUGGAACCCUUUCCUGAUUGCUUACCUAGCCUUGCUCUCGAGUACUCAUCUUCAUCAUUUUAUGCUUUCUCUUCGUCUACCACAUCUGCCUGGGGACAGUAAGGGAAGUGAAAAUGAUACCUCGAAGCAUGUGGAGACAAUUCAGCUAGGGACAAGGAGAAAGAAAGCAAGAGGUGGGCACUUGGAAAGAUUGAAGAAAGAAAUAAGGACCAACACCUUUCCCUCGUGCCUGCCCGUUGUGCAGAAGAAACAAGCAGAGAAGAAUGCAGCUUGCACAAUCAUCCCAGCGGAAGGAGUCCGAACUGAGGAACUAGAGAAGCUGCCACAUCUGCUUGGAGAACAAAUAAGGAACUGCAACAUUCCCAAAGAGCAAAGCUCCGCCGUACAAUAUCAUCAAAUAGUAAAAAGCUAAGUGUCACCCUGUUCAAGAGGAAAGCUGUGGAAAGUCAACAAGCACGACCAAUGAUUACUUAUUAGUUUUAUUCAUUAUCUUUUAUCGUAAUUUUCAAUUUUUCGUUUGCAAUUUUUUUUUUUUUUAAUUAAUUUUCUUGCGUACUUAACUGCAUUAUUUCUUUUCUUUGCAGGAACUUUUGGUUAUUUCCACCCUUGAAGUUGAUUGCAGAAUUUUAGCUUGGGGGUCAUCGCUUGAUUUUACUGCAAAUUAGGGAAGUUUUCAGUCCCAUUGUUUUAUUUUGUUUCUUAUUAUUUAUUUAUUUAUUUUAUUUUUAUUUGCGUUAUAGUGUUUUCUGACAUUGGGGACAAUGUCAAGUUUAAGUGUGGGGGUAGAAAUCUCUAGAAUUUCAUUUGUUUCUGUGUUGUUAGUUUUUGUUUUCUUAAAAAAAAAAAAAAAAAUAAAAAAAAAAAAAAAUAAAUAAUAAUAAAAAUAAAAAAAUAAAAAAAAAAUCGGAAAAUUUAAAAAUCCAAAAAUAUUGUCUUGUUUCCCUUUUUGUUCUGAAUCAGAUUUUUUUUUGUUAGUUUCCCGACCCAAUGAUAUAAUUAGAUCAAAUUUGAAUCAUGAUUAUCAAGAACUUAGUUAACAUGUGUUUUGUGAAAUUCCUAAUUCUUUUGUUAGUUUUGUACAUGUUUGAUCAUCUUUGAAAAACCAAAUGCACAUAGCCUUGUUGAUGUGAAACUAAAGCAUAACUUAAAGCUUCAUAUGUGAAUUUAGUGACCAUCCUAUGUGAGUUUUUGAGCCGAUUGAAAGUGUGUGCAUUUUUCAUACACUCCUAUUUUUUUAUGUGUGAUGAACUUAUGUGAGAUACAUCUCUAGAACUUGCGUAACGAUCUUUCGAAAUGUUUGUCAUUGAUUGCAUGAAUUUGGAAAUGAUAGAGGCAUUAGGUUUACCACUAUGGCCCAAAUAACCAUGUUUCCCAAAGAAAAAUGAUAUCAUUAGAUUGCCAAGUUGAGCCGUGUUUGUUGAGCCUUUUAUUUCUUAUCACCAGAUAUGUCUACCCUUAUACCUGAAAUAUUUUUCCUUACCAUUUCCAAGCGAGCAAUGCGAGAUUGUCUUAUGAGAAACGGUUGUGAAGUACUUUGAAGGUGUUUGGCAAAAGAAUAAGUGUGGGGGUAUUUCAUGUUUGUAUAAAAAAAAUAAAAAUAAAAAAAAUAAAAAAAAAGAAGAAAAAAAGAAAAGAAAAAGAAAGAUUGUAUACAAAGAAAAUAAAAAGUUUUUAAAGUUUCAGUUUAAGGGUGUGAUUGGAGGUAUCAGAAGAAUCGUUGUAGAGCUUGAGUUCUUAUAAAUCUAAACAAAAGAAUUGCUUGCAAUGUAGCUUGGAACUUGUGUUUUCCUAUUCUUUCGUUUCAAUAACCCUAUCCCUAAGCCUCAUUACAUCCAAUAAAAGUCCUCUUGAUUUAAGUUUUGCAAUUAUGACUGUGGAGAAGUGAUCUUUAUGCAAGCUUAUGGUAGAAAUUUCACAUUUGUUUCUUUGAGCGAAACACAUUAAAACUAAACACAUGUGUGAUUGAGUGCAUAUCCUGUGAGAAAGUCGCUAGUUUGCAUAUGAUGAUUUUAAAAAUAAAAACUUGAAAUUGCAUUAGCAUGGCUAUCUCACACACUACACUUCAAGGAUGAUUUAAAGAUUACUGCUAAUAUUUGAAUAAGGAAGAUGAACUUGGAUUAGUUCCUUGAUGCUAGCUAUGGUUCUUGAUGAUUUGUUCUCUUGAAUGAAAUUCUAUGAGGGUCACAUAGAGGGAAGCUAAUGUUUUUCAUGUUAUUACUUUUUCAUAUUUUCUUUGUUUUGCUCGAGGACUAGCAAAAGUUAAGUGUGGGGGUAUUUGAUCGGAUCAUAUUUAUAUAUAUUUUUACUUUGAAUUCACUCGUCUUUUCUUAGUUAGUUCCUUAUAUUUUUGAGCUAUUUACGUUAUUUUUGUGUUUAUAGGAUUUGUUAUGCAAAGAAAAUAAAAAUAGAACAAGUAAAAUUAUUUACUUGAUUCUGUUUUAACCACCAUAGGUAUGAACUGAGCCCAGGUAAGGUAUACAUCUAUAUCUUGCAAUGCAGAAUGUUUGAAGUUUUGGAGGUUUAGUGGUUAUCAGGAUUGGAGUGACUAUAGUUUUUAAUAUGGUAUUUUGUUUAAAAAUCUGUAUGUCUUUACAUUUCCACUUCCCGAUGCCUUUCUUUUUCUAAUUUCUACUAUGUGAUUAUCCAAAUCUACAAUUUUAUUUUAACUAAAGGUACAAUGACAUUGCUAAGUAUGGAUUUUCUGCAAUGGGGAGAUCCGCGCCAACCACAUUGGAUCCUGUCAGACAAAAUGAUGUUGGUUUGGAAAGACCUGCUGGCGUAGAAGGGGUCAUGAUUGGUAUAGGAGAGCAGGUGUAUUCAUUACUUCUUUUGACCUGUUUCUUCCUGGAGGUGGAGGGGCUGAACAAGUGAUUUCUUCAAAAAGGAAAGUAGAGGGCAGAGACCGUGAAAAACGGAAGGAGAAUAAAAAAAUAAAUAAAAGAAGAGAGGAACGCGGAAAGGGGGCGAGAGGGAAACGGAGAGGAGGGAGUCCAGAGGAAAGCUGCCAUUUGGCAGCUUGAUGAGGGGGGAUAAGAAAAAGGUCAGGGAGAGCAGAAAGAGGACAGAGGGAUAGACACGGGAAGAAGAGAGGAACGCGGAAAGGGGGCGAGAGGGAAACGGAGAGGAGGGAGUCCAGAGGAAAGCUGCCAAAGCUGCCAUUUGGCAGCUUGAUGAGGAGAGCAGAAAGAGGACAGAGGGAUAGACACGGGAAGAAGAGAGGAACGCGGAAAGGGGGCGAGAGGGAAACGGAGAGGAGGGAGUCCAGAGGAAAGCUGCCAUUUGGCAGCUUGAUGAGGGGGGAUAAGAAAAAGGUCAGGGAGAGCAGAAAGAGGACAGAGGGAUAGACACGGGAAGAAGAAGCAGAAGGCUGCCCUUGCAGCUGGAGCAAAACCGAAAGAAGGGUGCGCUGCUCUUGGCAGCACCGAGGGCAGAAAAUGGCAGCGCACGGACAAACAGACAGCUCUUCUCUCCUCUCGGUUAAAUCUUUCCAACUUAUGUUUUACUUUCGGUUUAAUUUUUCCAAACUUCUCUUUUAUUUCUGUUUUUAAUAAUGUGUAAUUAAAUUUAUGUUGGUUAGAGGUUAAUUCGAAACCAUGAUUAUAUUUGUAAUAUGAAUUGAUUACCUUCAGUUGUGAUUUAUAAGUUGUGAAUUCAAUUUACUUAUCCGUUCGUAUAAAAA